rnacentral:rRNA from 1 species
CAGUCGCCGCGGUAACACAGAGGGUGCGAGCGUUAAUCGGAUUUACUGGGCGUAAAGCGUGCGUAGGCGGCUUCUUAAGUCGGAUGUGAAAUCCCUGAGCUUAACUUAGGAAUUGCAUUCGAUACUGGGAAGCUAGAGUAUGGGAGAGGAUGGUAGAAUUCCAGGUGUAGCGGUGAAAUGCGUAGAGAUCUGGAGGAAUACCGAUGGCGAAGGCAGCCAUCUGGCCUAAUACUGACGCUGAGGUACGAAAGCAUGGGGAGCAAACAGGAUUAGAUACCCCCGUAGUCCCUGUCUCUUAUAC